GUGCUCACUAAGGUGGCACAUAGACUAAAACUGGAACGAUACCACGAAGAUUAGCAUGGUCCCUCAGCAAGGAUGACACACAAAUUCAUGACGCAUUCCAUAUUUUA